AAUCUUAAAAAAUUAAAUUGCAAAUUUAAUAAAGAAUUAAAAUUCUAAGAUUU
rnacentral:tRNA from 1 species